UUAAGUUAUUAAGGGCGCACGGUGGAUGCCUUGGCACUAGAAGCCGAUGAAGGACGUUACUAACGACGAUAUGCUUUGGGUAGCUGUAAGUAAGCGUUGAUCCAGAGAUUUCCGAAUGGGGGAACCCAGCAUGAGUUAUGUCAUGUUAUCGACAUGUGAAUUUAUAGCAUGUCAGAAGGCAGACCCGGAGAACUGAAACAUCUUAGUACCCGGAGGAAGAGAAAGAAAAAUCGAUUCCCUGAGUAGCGGCGAGCGAAACGGGAAGAGCCCAAACCAACAAGCUUGCUUGUUGGGGUUGUAGGACACUCUAUACGGAGUUACAAAAGAACAUGUUAGACGAAUCAUCUGGAAAGAUGAAUCAAAGAAGGUAAUAAUCCUGUAGUCGAAAACAUAUUCUCUCUUGAGUGGAUCCUGAGUACGACGGAGCACGUGAAAUUCCGUCGGAAUCUGGGAGGACCAUCUCCUAAGGCUAAAUACUCUCUAGUGACCGAUAGUGAACCAGUACCGUGAGGGAAAGGUGAAAAGUACCCCGGAAGGGGAGUGAAAGAGAACUUGAAACCGUGUGCUUACAAGUAGUCAGAGCCCGUUAAUGGGUGAUGGCGUGCCUUUUGUAGAAUGAACCGGCGAGUUACGAUCUGAUGCAAGGUUAAGCAGCAAAUGUGGAGCCGCAGCGAAAGCGAGUCUGAAUAGGGCGUUGAGUAUUUGGUCGUAGACCCGAAACCAGGUGAUCUACCCUUGGUCAGGUUGAAGUUCAGGUAACACUGAAUGGAGGACCGAACCGACUUACGUUGAAAAGUGAGCGGAUGAACUGAGGGUAGCGGAGAAAUUCCAAUCGAACUUGGAGAUAGCUGGUUCUCUCCGAAAUAGCUUUAGGGCUAGCCUCAAGUGAUGAUUAUUGGAGGUAGAGCACUGUUUGGACGAGGGGCCCCUCUCGGGUUACCGAAUUCAGACAAACUCCGAAUGCCAAUUAAUUUAACUUGGGAGUCAGAACAUGGGUGAUAAGGUCCGUGUUCGAAAGGGAAACAGCCCAGACCACCAGCUAAGGUCCCAAAAUAUAUGUUAAGUGGAAAAGGAUGUGGCGUUGCCCAGACAACUAGGAUGUUGGCUUAGAAGCAGCCAUCAUUUAAAGAGUGCGUAAUAGCUCACUAGUCGAGUGACACUGCGCCGAAAAUGUACCGGGGCUAAACAUAUUACCGAAGCUGUGGAUUGUCCUUUGGACAAUGGUAGGAGAGCGUUCUAAGGGCGUCGAAGCAUGAUCGCAAGGACAUGUGGAGCGCUUAGAAGUGAGAAUGCCGGUGUGAGUAGCGAAAGACGGGUGAGAAUCCCGUCCACCGAUUGACUAAGGUUUCCAGAGGAAGGCUCGUCCGCUCUGGGUUAGUCGGGUCCUAAGCUGAGGCCGACAGGCGUAGGCGAUGGAUAACAGGUUGAUAUUCCUGUACCACCUAGUAUCGUUUUAAUCGAUGGGGGGACGCAGUAGGAUAGGCGAAGCGUGCUGUUGGAGUGCACGUCCAAGCAGUAAGGCUGAGUGUUAGGCAAAUCCGGCACUCAUAAGGCUGAGCUGUGAUGGGGAGAGGAAAUUGUUUCCUCGAGUCGUUGAUUUCACACUGCCGAGAAAAGCCUCUAGAUAGAUAACAGGUGCCCGUACCGCAAACCGACACAGGUAGUCAAGAUGAGAAUUCUAAGGUGAGCGAGCGAACUCUCGUUAAGGAACUCGGCAAAAUGACCCCGUAACUUCGGGAGAAGGGGUGCUCUUUAGGGUUCACGCCCAGAAGAGCCGCAGUGAAUAGGCCCAAGCGACUGUUUAUCAAAAACACAGGUCUCUGCUAAACCGUAAGGUGAUGUAUAGGGGCUGACGCCUGCCCGGUGCUGGAAGGUUAAGAGGAGUGGUUAGCUUCUGCGAAGCUACGAAUCGAAGCCCCAGUAAACGGCGGCCGUAACUAUAACGGUCCUAAGGUAGCGAAAUUCCUUGUCGGGUAAGUUCCG
rnacentral:rRNA from 1 species